rnacentral:lncRNA from 10 species
UUAUUUCAUAAUUUCCUCCCAGGAAAUACUCUUUAAAAAAUAUCUACUGUGUUUCUUAAAAUAGAUGGUAUAAUUCCUGCUAAUGCAGUCUAAGGACAUUUUUAAAGUCCUGAAUUAACUACACUUGAUUUUUAAACUUUAAAGGUACCUGUAUCUAACUCAGUGUUCUCUCUUUUCCUAGGUUUUGACAAGCCCAUAUUACAUGGAUUAUGUACAUUUGGAUUUUCUGCCAGGCGUGUGUUACAGCAGUUUGCAGAUAAUGAUGUGUCAAGAUUCAAGGCAAUUAAGGCUCGUUUUGCAAAACCAGUAUAUCCAGGACAAACUCUACAAACUGAGAUGUGGAAGGAAGGAAACAGAAUUCAUUUUCAAACCAAGGUCCAAGAAACUGGAGACAUUGUCAUUUCAAAUGCAUAUGUGGAUCUUGCACCAACAUCUGGUACUUCAGCUAAGACACCCUCUGAGGUAGGUUAUAAAAAUUAGUAUCCAAGCCACUUCCUCAUUUAGGAAUUUCAGUUAAGGUGACUUUAAGAGUGGUUAGGCUACGUUAGAAAAUUAACAACCAUGAAACUAUUCUUAAUUCUU